AAGAAUAAUACAAUGGACUUUGGGGACUUGGGGGGAAGAGUGGGAGUGGGGUGAGGGAUAAAGGACAACAUAUAUGGUGCAGUAUAUACUGCUGGGGUGAUGGGUGCACCAAAAUCUCAGAAAUCACCACUGAAAACCUUAUCCAUCUAACCAAACACCUCCAGUUACCCCAAAACCUAUUGAAAUUAA